CCUACGGGGGCUGCAGUGGGGAAUAUUGGACAAUGGGCGAAAGCCUGAUCCAGCCAUGCCGCGUGUGUGAAGAAGGCCUUCGGGUUGUAAAGCACUUUCAGUGGGGAAGAAAGCCUUGGGGCUAAUACCCUCGAGGAAGGACAUCACCCACAGAAGAAGCACCGGCUAACUCCGUGCCAGCAGCCGCGGUAAUACGGAGGGUGCGAGCGUUAAUCGGAAUUACUGGGCGUAAAGCGCGCGUAGGCGGUCUGAUAAGCCGGUUGUGAAAGCCCCGGGCUCAACCUGGGAACGGCAUCCGGAACUGUCAGGCUAGAGUGCAGGAGAGGAAGGUAGAAUUCCCGGUGUAGCAGUGAAAUGCGUAGAGAUCGGGAGGAAUACCAGUGGCGAAGGCGGCCUUCUGGACUGACACUGACGCUGAGGUGCGAAAGCGUGGGUAGCAAACAGGAUUAGAUACCCGAGUAGUC
rnacentral:rRNA from 1 species